AUCUACAGGCUUAACACAUGCAAGUCGAGGGGCAGCAUGGUCUUAGCUUGCUAAGGCCGAUGGCGACCGGCGCACGGGUGAGUAACGCGUAUCCAACCUGCCUUACACUCUUGGACAGCCUUCUGAAAGGGAGAUUAAUACAAGAUGUUAUCAUGAGUAAGCAUUUUCGCAUGAUUAAAGGUUUACCGGUGUAAGAUGGGGAUGCGUUCCAUUAGAUAGUAGGCGGGGUAACGGCCCACCUAGUCUUCGAUGGAUAGGGGUUCUGAGAGGAAGGUCCCCCACAUUGGAACUGAGACACGGUCCAAACUCCUACGGGAGGCAGCAGUGAGGAAUAUUGGUCAAUGGACGAGAGUCUGAACCAGCCAAGUAGCGUGAAGGAUGAAGGUUCUAUGGAUUGUAAACUUCUUUUAUACGGGAAUAAACGAAUCCACGUGUGGAUUUUUGCAUGUACCGUAUGAAUAAGGAUCGGCUAACUCCGUGCCAGCAGCCGCGGUAAUACGGAGGAUCCGAGCGUUAUCCGGAUUUAUUGGGUUUAAAGGGAGCGUAGAUGGGUUGUUAAGUUAGUUGUGAAAGUUUGCGGCUCAACCGUAAAAUUGCAAUUGAUACUGGCAGUCUUGAGUACAGUUGAGGUAGGCGGAAUUCGUGGUGUAGCGGUGAAAUGCUUAGAUAUCACGAAGAACUCCGAUUGCGAAGGCAGCUUACUAACCUGUAACUGACAUUGAUGCUCGAAAGUGUGGGUAUCAAACAGGAUUAGAUACCCUGGUAGUCCACACGGUAAACGAUGAAUACUCGCUGUAGGCGAUAUACAGUCUGCGGCCAAGCGAAAGCAUUAAGUAUUCCACCUGGGGAGUACGCCGGCAACGGUGAAACUCAAAGGAAUUGACGGGGGCCCGCACAAGCGGAGGGACAUGUGGUUUAAUUCGAUGAUACGCGAGGAACCUUACCCGGGCUUAAAUUGCAACCGAAUAUGGCGGAAACGCUAUAGCUAGCAAUAGCGGUUGUGAAAGUGCUGCAUGGUUGUCGUCAGCUCGUGCCGUGAGGUGUCGGCUUAAGUGCCAUAACGAGCGCAACCCUUGCCGAUAGUUACUAACAGGUCAUGCUGAGGACUCUGUCGGGACUGCCAUCGUAAGAUGUGAGGAAGGUGGGGAUGACGUCAAAUCAGCACGGCCCUUACGUCCGGGGCUACACACGUGUUACAAUGGGGGGUACAGAGGGCUGCUACCACGCAAGUGGAUGCCAAUCCCAAAAACCUCUCUCAGUUCGGAUUGAAGUCUGCAACCCGACUUCAUGAAGCUGGAUUCGCUAGUAAUCGCGCAUCAGCCACGGCGCGGUGAAUACGUUCCCGGGCCUUGUACACACCGCCCGUCAAGCCAUGGGAGCCGGGGGUACCUGAAGUGCGUAACCGCAAGGAGCGCCCUAGGGUAAAACUGG
rnacentral:rRNA from 1 species